rnacentral:lncRNA from 1 species
GGGUGUGUGGAGACGUAACGAACAAGGAUAUGAACUAUCUAUGCCGGUAUGGAUGCUACUCUUGUGUAUAUAUUUUUUAUGAGAUCCUAUGCUAUUUGCAAAUGUUAUGCGGAUGUUAUUUACUAUCUUAUUGCAUUCAGGUUCUCUUAUUGGACUUCAAUGUGGUAGAGACUACCAAAAUAAAACAACGCCUUAAAAUGGGAAGAGAAGGUAGUAUGCGAGAGAGAACGGAUAAUAAUUAAUAUUGUUGUCUAGUUCAAACC